rnacentral:lncRNA from 1 species
CAUCUGAGAGAAUAAUUGUUCCCUCUGAGCUCUUGGGGACCUAAGAUUUGGUCUUUCUGUAGUUGAAGGUCAGUGCAGAGAACUUGCCCCCAGGCUAGUCUCUUGGUCUGCCUAAAUCUGACCUUCUGACCCACCUAAGCCACGAGCACUGGGAGACAAGCCUCGAGACCUGUAUCCCCUCUCCCGCUGCAGGAAGAACCUCUCUAUCCAGGGCCUCCGCUGGUGGCUACAGUGGCUGGGCAUCAACUUCACCCUCUUCCUGGGGCUAUUUUUCCUGACCACACCCUCCAUCAUCCUGUCCACCAUGGACAAGUUUAAUGUCACCAAACCCAUCCAUGCGCUGAAUAACCCGAUCAUCAGCCAGUUCUUCCCCACCCUCCUGCUCUGGUCCUUCUCGGCCCUGCUCCCCUCCAUUGUCUACUACUCUACACUGCUGGAGUCUCACUGGACCAAGUCGGGGGAAAACCAGAUCAUGAUGACCAAAGUCU